UACAGAGGGUGCGAGCGUUAAUCGGAAUUACUGGGCGUAAAGCGCGCGUAGGCGGCUUUGCAAGUCGGGUGUGAAAUCCCCAGGCUUAACCUGGGAACUGCAUUCGAGACUGCAUUGCUAGAGUAUGGGAGAGGGAAGUGGAAUUUCCGGUGUAGCGGUGAAAUGCGUAGAUAUCGGAAGGAACAUCAGUGGCGAGAGCGACUUCCUGGACCAAUACUGACGCUCAUGUGCGAAAGCGUGGGGAGCAAACAGG
rnacentral:rRNA from 1 species